rnacentral:rRNA from 1 species
GACUACUCGGGUAUCUAAGCCUGUUUGCUCCCCACACUUUCGAGCCUCAGCGUCAGUUAGAGCCCAGUAGGCCGCCUUCGCCACUGGUGUUCCUCCGAAUAUCUACGCAUUUCACCGCUACACUCGGAAUUCCGCCUACCUCUACUCCACUCAAGAAAAACAGUUUCAACUGCAGUUUAUGGGUUAAGCCCAUAGUUUUCACAGCUGACUUGCUCUCCCGCCUGCGCUCCCUUUACACCCAGUAAUUCCGGACAACGCUUGCCACCUACGUAUUACCGCGGCUGCUGGCACGUAGUUAGCCGUGGCUUCCUCCUCGGCUACCGUCAUUUCUUUCUUCACCAAAGACAGAGGUUUACAAUCCGAAAACCGUCUUCCCUCACGCGGCGUUGCUGCAUCAGGCUUUCGCCCAUUGUGCAAUAUCCCCCACUGCAGCCGCCCGUAGG